GAACAAAAAGCACCAGCAUUCAGUCUUCUCCAAAUUGCAAAGAGGAAUUUCAAGAAGAUUCAGCAAUAUACUGUAAAUGAAGUUCUUGUGAGACCCUCAACCACCUGACUCCACUUUGCUUUUAAGGAGAAGGAAGCCAGUUUGGAAGACAGCCUGCCCGCACAAUACUUGGAGGAUUUCAGCUCGUCUUUGGAGGAAGGGUUCAGGGGCCGGCGUGGAGGGCUUCCUCUACAAUUUUCAACCACAGCAAUUUGGAGGAACUGGAAAAUGCAGCCUCGGGUGAAGAUGUCUGCGGCUUUUUCCGUCACUUUGAGUCGGUCAACUGGAGCCAAAGCGCAAUGAGUGGAGCGUUUAAGAGAAAGGACAACCAGCAGAUGAUUGACAAGAGCUGCUGGCACUUCUGACUGUUGUUCUAACGUCUCAAAGUGACGGCUCAACAACAGGUCAUUUCCCAGGACGAGGCACAGGAGGAAGCCGCUUUCCUGUAACAUAAACGGGAUUAUUUUAAAUCAAAUUUCACAGUUUUCUGAAGCAGAGCUGCAAGAAAGCGUGCUCAGUGCUUUGAAAGGCAGCUCUGCUUCAAAAGGGAGGGAGAACGAGAGCGAUAUUGAAAAGAGUAAGAGGGAGAAAUGUACUUUUAUCUCCGCAGAGGAAUAUGAUGCAUCCCAUUUUGCAAAUUGACUUCGAAGGCUGCAGUUCUGCAGUAUUUCUGCAGCCACCCACCCCGCACUUUGAGAAAUAUACAGCUGAAGUCCGGUUCUGCAAGGAUGCUUUGUGAUUUACGACGUAGAGGGAUGGGUUCCCAUCUGGGACUCCAGCCACUGCCGGACAGGAGAUUUACGGGCACAAUGACACCACUGAUUACUUUCGGACGCCGAGGAGAAAUGGACACAGUUUGUUUUUCACCCCUUUCCGUCUCUAAAACCUGGACUGAGCAUGGGCCUAGAUUUGAGUCUCUGUCCCAGAGCAGCGGCACCCGGGUUCGCUUAUGGACACACACAGGCUAACUUGGACGAGCCCAAGUCGGUAAAUAACUUACGCAGACUGAUGGGAAACCCAUACUGUAUCUCCAUCGACGAGAAAUGCAGAGACAUUGUCAUGACCCCAGAAACCACACUUGCUCUAGGAGCCGUUCGACUCCAUCCCUCUCGUUAUGACAAAUUUGUGAGUCUUCCUGUGCGUUCUGAGGAGGCCAAACCGUGGACAUCCAGAGUUCAGCCAAACCCGAUACAGUCUGAAAACAAAUGCUAGGGUUCGACUGACCUCAUGCUGGACUAAAUGGCUUGAUAGCUUUGUAAAUAUGGCUUCCGGCAGAUGAAUUCCCUUCUUUUUCAUUUACCAACAACAAGAGCCCCAAAUCCAUUAAGAAAGAAAAACGCAAAAUGAAAGACAAUGCUGCCUAACACUCUAACUCAGUCAAUAAAUCAGACAGAAACAAUAAAUGCGGACUGGAUUGAAGUCAUUUUUCUUCGCAUUGAAAUUCUCAAGACAUUUUCAAUUUCAUGCACAGCACAGAAACCAUACUAAAGACAUUUGUGUAAUAUAAGCAGGGAGGAACUCUUUUGAUGAUCGCGACAGGUCUGCGUUCCACCCAGCCCUAUGCAAACAAUGUGCCUGCCCGUCUGUCUGCCUGCCAUGCGUCCUCAAAGGGACAUGAAGUGUCUCAUAUACAUUUGACACAAAGAACGGGUUAUGUGACAUAAACCAGAUGGACUCUUCAGUAGGACCCGACAUUGUGGUUUCUCAAAGACCGCAGACUUGCUUGAUCGCUCCACCCAGGGCCUGCUUGCUGGCAACUCACUUUCAUUCGUCUUCUCACAAGUUUGGGUGAAAAGCUUUUGGGAAGCUUUGUAAGAUUGAUGAUCCAUGGCCAAUUACUGGCUUAGGCCUUGAGUCUCACAAAGACAGCAUGAGCUCGGACGUAAACACAUGGGACAAAGAUGUAGGGGCUGCGAAUACCUGUGGCUCCACAAUAUAUAUGAGACUUCAAGACUAUCUCUUGAAAUAAUCUCAUUCCACAGCCUGAUCCUGGUAUUUCUGGAUGGUGCCAUUCUGAGUCAAGAAAGGAGGGGCCGGCGUAUCUGACGCCCCGUGGUUGACGUGCACCAGGGCGCCAGGCAAAAGCUUGUUAGACAAACUCUGACAACAAGACGCUGCCCUUGAAAAUCAAUUAUAAACACAGGAGCUUCCCUGCAUCUGUUUCUGCUUGCAGUUUUGUGGGGCUGUCUGUCUUGGAUUUCGGUUUUAUCCUCCCUCUCGUUGGGCAGCUUCCACGGAGGUUCAAACGGCCAUCCCUGAAGGAUUAGUGCGAGUUUUUAAACCCACAAGCACAGAGUGUGUAAAUCAUGAAUGGGUGAGCAAGAGUGAUGACAGGUCAUGGCACCCGCUGCUUAUUGGGAUGAGCAGUUUAUGGGAGCAGUUGGGGUGUUUUUCAUUGCAUCUGCUUUGCCCGGUCUCCUGUUCCUAACAAGUAAACAAUCAUAAAAAAUGACUUUGACUGGUUAAAAAGGGGUGCAGACAAGUUUGCGCAGAGAAGUUAUGGGUUCCCACUCUUUAAGGGUCCUCCAAUGGCCCUUUAGGGCUCGGCUUACGCUACCUGGGGCCCGGGGUUUGUCACAAUUGUUUUAGCAUGCCACCAUUCCGUUGCACUAACAAAUACCAAGUCCUGUGCUGAUUAACAAAAAAGAGUGAGUUUAGUUCAAAGCUACAUAAUUGAAAUUUUUAAAGUAACCCAGGGAGAGUUUACCUAAUUUCUAUCUACAGUAAUUGUUCACAAAUCUUCCAAACCCAUAUGACUAUUUUUGCGAAUUGCGAGUUAAGUUACAAUUUUGAGAUAUAAACUCACAAUUCUGACUUUUUUCCUCAUAAUUGCUAGUUUAUAUCUCGAAAUUGUGACUUUUUCUCAGAAUUGCGAGUUUAUAUCUAGCAAUUGUGACUUUUUUCCAGUGUUGUCAAGUCUGCGGUUUUCCCGCAGAAUUGCGCUACUUUAACACUGUUGCCGCGGGUUGUUUUUCAUGCCCGCAGGUUGAAGCGACCCCAAUAACGUGAUAUUUAGCCCCUGGAAUGUGAAUUUUAUUGGAGGAUCCCCACCAAAAAAUGUGUAUUUUACCCCCAGAAUGCGAUUUUUACCGGGGAACCCUGUUCGAAACGCGAUUGGGCUAGUUUUGAGUAGCAGUUGGGCGGGUUUUGUUGCGAAAAACCUGGCAACCCUGCUUUUUUCUCAGAAUUGCGAGUUUAUAUCUCGCAAUUUUGACUUUAUAAGAUGCAAUUGCAAAUUGUUAAGUCAUAAUUGUGCAAUAUAAACUGGCGAUUCUAAGAACAUAUCAGCCUCCCCACCCCCUGAAAAUUGGACUUUAUAACUCACAAUUGUGAGUUUAUAUCUCACAAUUCUAAGAAAAAGUCAGAGUUGCGAUAGUCUCAAUUGCGAGAAUAAAGUCAGAAUUGUGACUUUUAAUCUUGUAAUUCUGACUUUAUAACUUGCAAUUGCAAGUUUAUAUCUCACAAUUGUGAGGAAAAAAGUCAGAUUUGUGAGAUGUAAAAUUUAUUUACAUAACUGUUAUUGUUAUUGCUAUUCUAAUUGAUGCUGUGCAUUAGCAAAUAGUUGUAGGCAUUUAUAUUUACUCCAGCAUACACACAAAUCACUUUAUAAAUACAAUUUUGAAUGCUAUUUUACAUCAUAUCGUAUAUCUCUUCCAUCAGUGCGUGACCCCAACAGAAACCCUUCAGUAUAUUUCAGUCACAGUCUCUUUGUUCAUGUGUCUUCUUUUCUCUCUCCUUGCCCUGAAAGAAUGCUUACAGUCUAUCUCAAGAUGCUACAUUCUGACAUGAUGAAAGACCACCACAGUGGAUGAGACCUCUGUCUGUGUGCUCUGAAAAGCGCCGUGUGUUAAGCAGAUCCACCCAAUCAGGCUGCAUUGUUCUGAAGCCCUCCAGGCCAUCUGCCUCUCAGGUUGGUCAAAGCUGAAAACCUUGUGCCGAGCAGGAUGUGGAGGCAUGUCUAGCUUUAUGACCUCUCUAUAUCUAUAGUCUUUACCCUAUGGAGCAUCUAAUUAAAUUAUCACACACCUCUAUAUGACAAUAGUCAUUGUAGGUGUCUACUCUGAAGGCUGAGGGCAGCACUUAGAAGAAGUCUAGAAGAACAAAGAGUGUGAGCAUUCUUGAUUAGCAUCCUUGGUUACAAAUGGCACUUGAGGACACAGUGAGAACCAUUACCACAUGUUUACCAUAUUGUCUUUGUGAAGACAAUGCACAGUCAACUCAAAUUGAAUGUAUAAAGCAAAUAAUAUCAGUUUUUACAUAAAUUCUGCAGUCUCUUCUUAUAAAUGAAGAAUAUUUCUCGCUGAUAAUUGCAAAUGUCCAAUCAG